rnacentral:rRNA from 1 species
UAAGGUUAAGUUAAUAAGGGCGCACGGUGGAUGCCUUGGCACUAGAAGCCGAAGAAGGACGUGACUAACGACGAAAUGCUUUGGGGAGCUGUAAGUAAGCGCUGAUCCAGAGAUGUCCGAAUGGGGGAACCCACUAGUUAAUGACUAGUAUCCAUAUCUGUUAAGGAUAUGAGAAGGAAGACGCAGUGAACUGAAACAUCUAAGUAGCUGCAGGAAGAGAAAGCAAAAGCGAUUGCCUUAGUAGCGGCGAGCGAAACGGCAGGAGGGCAAACCGAAGUGUUUACACUUCGGGGUUGUAGGACUGCGAUAUAGGAUUAAUCAUUAUAGAAGAAUUACCUGGGAAGGUAAGCCAAAGAGAGUAACAGCCUCGUAUUUAAAAUGAUAGAUUAACCUUAGCAGUAUCCUGAGUACGGCGAGACACGCGAAAUCUCGUCGGAAUCUGGGAGGACCAUCUCCCAACCCUAAAUACUCUCUAGUGACCGAUAGUGAACCAGUACCGUGAGGGAAAGGUGAAAAGCACCCCGGGAGGGGAGUGAAAUAGAACCUGAAACCGUGUGCCUACAACAAGUUCGAGCCCGUUAAUGGGUGAGAGCGUGCCUUUUGUAGAAUGAACCGGCGAGUUACGAUAUGAUGCGAGGUUAAGUUGAAGAGACGGAGCCGUAGGGAAACCGAGUCUUAAUAGGGCGUCAUAGUAUCAUGUUGUAGACCCGAAACCAUGUGACCUACCCAUGAGCAGGUUGAAGGUGAGGUAAAACUCACUGGAGGACCGAACCAGGGCACGUUGAAAAGUGCUUGGAUGACUUGUGGGUAGCGGAGAAAUUCCAAACGAACUUGGAGAUAGCUGGUUCUCUCCGAAAUAGCUUUAGGGCUAGCGUCGAUGUUAAGUCUCUUGGAGGUAGAGCACUGUUUGGGUGAGGGGUCCAUCCCGGAUUACCAAUCUCAGAUAAACUCCGAAUGCCAACGAGAUAUAAUCGGCAGUCAGACUGCGAGUGCUAAGAUCCGUAGUCGAAAGGGAAACAGCCCAGACCACCAGCUAAGGUCCCAAAAUAUAUGUUAAGUGGAAAAGGAUGUGGGGUUGCACAGACAACUAGGAUGUUAGCUUAGAAGCAGCUAUUCAUUCAAAGAGUGCGUAAUAGCUCACUAGUCGAGUGACCCUGCGCCGAAAAUGUACCGGGGCUAAAACAUAUUACCGAAGCUGUGGAUGACACAAAAGUGUCAUGGUAGGAGAGCGUUCUAUGUGUGAAGAAGGUGUACCGUGAGGAGCGCUGGAACGCAUAGAAGUGAGAAUGCCGGUAUGAGUAGCGCAAGACAGGUGAGAAUCCUGUCCACCGUAAGACUAAGGUUUCCAGGGGAAGGCUCGUCCGCCCUGGGUUAGUCGGGACCUAAGGAGAGACCGAAAGGUGUAUCCGAUGGACAACAGGUUGAUAUUCCUGUACUAGAGUAUAUAGUGAUGGAGGGACGCAGUAGGCUAACUAAACCAGACGAUUGGAAGUGUCUGGUCAAACAGUGAGGUGUGAUAUGAGUCAAAUGCUUAUAUCUUUAACAUUGAGCUGUGACGAGGAGCGAAGUUUAGUAGCGAAGUUAGUGAUGUCACACUGCCAAGAAAAGCUUCUAGCGAUACAUAUACUCUACCCGUACCGCAAACCGACACAGGUAGUCGAGGCGAGUAGCCUCAGGUGAGCGAGAGAACUCUCGUUAAGGAACUCGGCAAAAUGGCCCCGUAACUUCGGGAGAAGGGGCGCUGAUUUUAGAUCAGCCGCAGUGAAUAGGCCCAAGCAACUGUUUAUCAAAAACACAGCUCUCUGCUAAAUCGUAAGAUGAUGUAUAGGGGGUGACGCCUGCCCGGUGCUGGAAGGUUAAGAGGAGUGCUUAGCGUAAGCGAAGGUAUGAAUUGAAGCCCCAGUAAACGGCGGCCGUAACUAUAACGGUCCUAAGGUAGCGAAAUUCCUUGUCGGGUAAGUUCCGACCCGCACGAAAGGCGUAAUGAUUUGGGCACUGUCUCAACGAGAGACUCGGUGAAAUUUUAGUACCUGUGAAGAUGCAGGUUACCCGCGACAGGACGGAAAGACCCCAUGGAGCUUUACUGCAGUUUGAUAUUGAGUAUCUGUACCACAUGUACAGGAUAGGUAGGAGCCUAUGAUAACGGGACGCCAGUUUCGUUUGAGGCGUUGUUGGGAUACUACCCUUGUGUUAUGGCUACUCUAACCCAGAUAGGCAAUCCCUAUCGGAGACAGUGUCUGACGGGCAGUUUGACUGGGGCGGUCGCCUCCUAAAAGGNNGGAGCUUGACUGCGAGAGCUACAACUCGAGCAGGGACGAAAGUCGGGCUUAGUGAUCCGGUGGUUCCGUAUGGAAGGGCCAUCGCUCAACGGAUAAAAGCUACCCUGGGGAUAACAGGCUUAUCUCCCCCAAGAGUUCACAUCGACGGGGAGGUUUGGCACCUCGAUGUCGGCUCGUCGCAUCCUGGGGCUGUAGUCGGUCCCAAGGGUUGGGCUGUUCGCCCAUUAAAGCGGCACGCGAGCUGGGUUCAGAACGUCGUGAGACAGUUCGGUCCCUAUCCGUCGCGGGCGUAGGAAAUUUGAGAGGAUCUGCUCCUAGUACGAGAGGACCAGAGUGGACUUACCGCUGGUGUACCAGUUGUCUUGCCAAAGGCAUCGCUGGGUAGCUAUGUAGGGAAGGGAUAAGCGCUGAAAGCAUCUAAGUGCGAAGCCCACCUCAAGAUGAGAUUUCCCAUGAUUUUAUAUCAGUAAGAGCCCUGAGAGAUGAUCAGGUAGAUAGGUUAGGAGUGUAAUUGUGGUGACACAUUUAGCGGACUAAUACUAAUAGCUCGAGGACUUAUCCAAAA